UACGAGAGCCUCAAGCGUUAUCCGGAAUUAUUGGGCGUAAAGGGUGCGUAGGCGGGUCUUUAAGUCAGGGGUGAAAUCCUGGAGCUCAACUCCAGAACUGCCUUUGAUACUGAAGAUCUUGAGUUCGGGAGAGGUGAGUGGAACUGCGAGUGUAGAGGUGAAAUUCGUAGAUAUUCGCAAGAACACCAGUGGCGAAGGCGGCUCACUGGCCCGAUACUGACGCUGAGGCACGAAAGCGUGGGGAGCAAACAGG
rnacentral:rRNA from 1 species